GCAGAACAGGAAGCGUGCUGCAGGUUGCCUUGGGAUUUGUAGGAGUUACCUGCAUGGGUGAGGAGCAGCCAACAUCAGCAGUUUAGGCCAGGACAAACCACAGCAGUUGUUAUUUUUCUGGAAUAUCCCAACAUAGGCUUAGUGCCAAGCAUGCUGCUGUUGAAAAGGAGAAGCUGUUCUGCAGUUGUUCUCACCAUCAGGAAAAGCAGUGAGUUGGUAAGAAAACAACAAUGUGGAAUGCUAGAAGGAAGGGAUGCCAUCCAGAAGGACCUGGACGGGUUUGAGAGUGAGGUGACCCUGCCUCCUUGGAAGCAGAUUCACAGCUACACACUCCACAGCUGACACUGGAAACUCCCCAACAGAUCUCAUCCCCUGAGCUUAGUUGUUGAGAAAUCACCAUGCCCCAGGUAGCUAUGCAAGCAUACAGAUGGGUUUUAGUUAUUGAACUGAUUAACAAUUAUAUAUGUGUGUGAAUUUCCAUUUUAUAACCAAAGCCAUUUGGUUGAUUGCCUGUUUGUAUAUUGUAUCUUUGCAAUAAGGAAGAAAAAAAAAGGGGUAGAGAACAUGGGAAGGGAGUGGAGAACAUGGGACUCAAGGGUCCUGUCUAUCAAAUGCUGCACCAAUUGCUUGUCAUGUAAUAUCACUAGCUGGUGGGUUCUCUAGCUCUUCUGAUUUUGCCAUCUGUAACUUCAUAAGUAAUUGAUGUCUUCUAUUUUUUAAAAUUUAAAAGUUUGUAUUGGUGACUUUGAAUUUAAAGUACACAUAGAGUGA